CACCGCCCGUCACUACUACCGAUUGAAUGGUUUAGUGAGGUCGUUGGAUUAGCGUCGUUGUAGUGGCUUUGCCGCUAGACUGAUGCUAAGAAGAUGACUUAAUUUGAAUAUUUAGAGGAAUUAAAAGUCGUAACAAGGGUUUCCGUAGGUGAACCUACGGAAG
rnacentral:ncRNA from 1 species